UGGGGAAUAUUGCACAAUGGGCGAAAGCCUGAUGCAGCAACGCCGCGUGAGGGACGACGGCCUCGGGUUGUAAACCUCUUUUAGCAAGGAAGAAGCGAAAGUGACGGUACUUGCAGAAAAAGCGCCGGCUAACUACGUGCCAGCAGCCGCGGUAAUACGUAGGGCGCAAGCGUUAUCCGGAAUUAUUGGGCGUAAAGAGCUCGUAGGCGGUUUGUCGCGUCUGCUGUGAAAACCCGAGGCUCAACCUCGGGCCUGCAGUGGGUACGGGCAGACUAGAGUGCGGUAGGGGAGAUUGGAACUCCUGGUGUAGCGGUGGAAUGCGCAGAUAUCAGGAAGAACACCGAUGGCGAAGGCAGAUCUCUGGGCCGUAACUGACGCUGAGGAGCGAAAGGGUGGGGAGCAAACAGGCUUAGAUACCCUGGUAGUCCACCCGUAAACGUUGGGAACUAGUUGUGGGUCCAUUCCACGGAUUCCGUGACGCAGCUAACGCAUUAAGUUCCCCGCCUGGGGAGUACGGCCGCAAGGCUAAAACUCAAAUGAAUUGACGGGGUCAUAGCUGUUUCCU
rnacentral:rRNA from 1 species